rnacentral:rRNA from 1 species
AUUGAACGCUGGCGGCAGGCCUAACACAUGCAAGUCGAGCGAGCGGCGGACGGGUGAGUAAUGUAUGUGGACUGCCCGCUCGAGGGGGAUAACUACUGGAAACGGUAGCUAAUACCGCAUACUAUCGGAUAACCCAUAUGGGAUUAGCUAGUAGGUGAGGUAAUGGCCCACCUAGGCGACGAUCCAAAGCUGGUCUGAGAGGAUGAUCAGCAACACGGGGGCUUGGACACGGCCCAGACUCGGACGGAGGCAGCAGUGGGGAAUAUUGCACAGUGGGCGGAAGGCUGAUUCAGCCAUGCCGCGUGAAUGAAGAAGGCCCUAGGGUUGUAAAGUACUUUCAGUCGGGAAGCGGUACCGACAGAAUAAGCACCGGCUAACUCCGUGCCAGCCGCCGCGGUAAUUC